rnacentral:rRNA from 1 species
UACGUAGGGUGCGAGCGUUGUCCGGAAUUACUGGGCGUAAAGAGCUCGUAGGUGGUUUGUCGCGUUGUUCGUGAAAUCUCACGGCUUAACUGUGAGCGUGCGGGCGAUACGGGCAGACUGGAGUACUGCAGGGGAGACUGGAAUUCCUGGUGUAGCGGUGGAAUGCGCAGAUAUCAGGAGGAACACCGGUGGCGAAGGCGGGGUCUCUGGGGGCAGUAACUGACGCUGAGGAGCGAAAAGCGUGGGGGAGC